GGGCAGGCCCAGUCGCCGCCUAUCCAGGAGAACGGCAGGUCCCGAAGCCGAAAUCCCCUGGGCGGCUCCCCUUGAGGUUACCAGGACGGCUUCUCGAAGCCCCGACGGAGCCACCACACCCACGUGGGCUUUCGCGCAGUUUCUCGAAGGGUUGGAGCAGCCGUGUGGGUCGCCAGCCAAGUGGAAGCCAGUUUCGCAUCGGGGCUGCGGGAGAGAACAGCCGCCUCGAUCCCGCUCCGAAGAUCUGAGACCCUCCAAUCCCAGACAGCGCCUCGCGGGACUAUAGUCCGCGGCUUCUUUCCACACACGAAGGCCCGUUCGGCCCCUCUAGUCAGGUCCGCUGCGGCGGCCAGGCUCCCUGGAGAUGGUCGAGGGUUCCUCUCGGCCAGGCUGCCUGAGGACCGGCUCGCUUCCCGGAAUCCCCCCCCUCCCCGCCCUUCGUUGCUGCUGCCGGUCGGGCUGAGGGGCGGCUGGAGCUCUCUUGCUGGUCUGGGGGGGCGGGAAGGAGAGCACCGUCCCCGUGAUCAGAGCGCUGGAAGGACUUCGGGGCGGAGGCUAGCUGGCUGCAAUUCAAGGAGCUGAAGCAAGAAAGAGGCUCUGGCCUGGCCCUGAGCUGUGGAAGACUCCCCAUCCGCUUGGCUGCUUUGGAGAAGGCACCAAUCGAGAACAUGAGCAGAUCAGUGCAUAAAUUCACCUAAUUUAAAAUUCAAGAUUUGUUCUACCAAAACACUGGAAAAAUAUAAAGGCCAAAGUCUUUCUUUGAAUUGGUGGCAUUUGAAAGUGUGGAACCAGCACUGGAUGAAUAAUACAACAGCAAAAAGGGUUAAUUAAAGCUGCUUUAUUUAUAUUUAGCUUCCAUUUUUAGUAAUAUC